rnacentral:rRNA from 1 species
GAUGAACGCUGGCGGCGUGCCUAAUACAUGCAAGUCGAGCGAACGGACGAGAAGCUUGCUUCUCUGAUGUUAGCGGCGGACGGGUGAGUAACACGUGGAUAACCUACCUAUAAGACUGGGAUAACUUCGGGAAACCGGAGCUAAUACCGGAUAAUAUUUUGAACCGCAUGGUUCAAAAGAAAAAGACGGUCUUGCUGUCACUUAUAGAUGGAUCCGCGCUGCAUUAGCUAGUUGGUAAGGUAACGGCUUACCAAGGCAAGGAUGAAUAGCCGACCUGGGAGGGGGAUCGGCCACACGGGAACGGAGAAACGGCCCAGACUCCUACGGGAGGAAGAAGUAGGGAAUCUUGCGAAAGGGGCGAAAGCCUGCCGGAGCAAGGCCGCGGGAGUGAGGAAGGUCUUCGGAUCGUAAAACUCUGUGAUUAGGGAAGACCACAUGGGUAAGUAACUGUGCACAUCUUGACGGUACCUAAUCAGAAAGCCACGGCUAACUACGUG